rnacentral:rRNA from 1 species
GUCGGGAGUUAGGAAAUGCAAGGGUGUUAACAGCGUCUUUGCUUGACUAAGGCUCCAGAGGAAGCCACGGCUACUCUGUGCCAGCAGCCGCGGUAAUACAGAGGCGGCAAGCGUUGUUCGGAAUUAUUGGGCGUAAAGAGCACGUAGGCGGCCUUGCGAGUCAGUUGUGAAAGCCUUCCGCUUAACGGAAGAAUGCCAGCUGAUACUACAGGGCUUGAGUACGGGAGGGGAGAGUGGAACUUCUGGU